UGCCAGCAGCCGCGGUAAUUCCAGCUCCAAUAGCGUAUAUUAAAGUUGUUGCAGUUAAAAAGCUCGUAGUUGGAUCUCGGGUCCGGGCUCGCGGUCCACCUCGCGGUGGUUACUGCCCGUCCCGACCUACCUACCGGUUUUCCCUUGGUGCUCUUAACUGAGUGUCUCGGGUGGCCGGAACGUUUACUUUGAAAAAAUUAGAGUGUUCAAAGCAGGCGCUUCGCCUGAAUAAUGUUGCAUGGAAUAAUGGAAUAGGACCUCGGUUCUAUUUUGUUGGUUUUCGGAACUCGAGGUAAUGAUUAAGAGGGACAGACGGGGGCAUUCGUAUGAUGGUGUUAGAGGUGAAAUUCUUGGAUCGCCGUCAGACGAACUACUGCGAAAGCAUUUGCCAAGAAUGUUUUCAUUAAUCAAGAACGAAAGUCAGAGGUUCGAAGACGAUCAGAUACCGUCCUAGUUCUGACCAUAAACGAUGCCGACUAGCGAUCCGCCGGAGUUGUUUCAAUGACCCGGCGGGCAGCUUCCGGGAAACCAAAGUCUUUGGGUUCCGGGGGAAGUAUGGUUGCAAAGCUGAAACUUAAAGGAAUUGACGGAAGGGCACCACCAGGAGUGGAGCCUGCGGCUUAAUUUGACUCAACACGGGAAAGCUUACCCGGCCCGGACACCGUAAGGAUUGACAGAUUGAGAGCUCUUUCUUGAUUCGGUGGGUGGUGGUGCAUGGCCGUUCUUAGUUGGUGGAGCGAUUUGUCUGGUUAAUUCCGAUAACGAACGAGACUCUAGCCUAUUAAAUAGUUCGCCGAUUUCGAUCUGUCGGCGUUAACUUCUUAGAGGGACAAGUGGCUUUUAGCCACGCGAGAUUGAGCAAUAACAGGUCUGUGA
rnacentral:rRNA from 1 species